GUAAUAGCUCACUAGUCGAGUCGGCCUGCGCGGAAGAUGUAACGGGGCUCAAACUGGAUACCGAAGCUGCGGCUGCAUACUAUGUAUGCGGGGUAGGGGAGCGUUGUGUAAGUCUGUGAAGGUGUGUUGAGAAGCAUGCUGGAGAUAUCACAAGUGCGAAUGCUGACGUGAGUAACGAUAAUGGGAGUGAAAAACUCCCACGCCGAAAGACCAAGGUUUCCUGCGCAACGCUAAUCGGCGCAGGGUGAGUCGGCCCCUAAGGCGAGGCAGAAAUGCGUAGCUGAUGGGAAACAGGUUAAUAUUCCUGUACUUCUUAUAACUGCGAUGGAGAGACGGAGAAGGCUAUGCCUACCGGGCGUUGGUUGUCCCGGGGAAAGGCUGUAGGCUGAGGUGUUAGGCAAAUCCGGCACCUUAAGGCUGAGAGUCGAGACCACUGGUCCUUUGUGACCGGGAAGUGGUUGAUGCCAUGCUUCCAGGAAAAUCUUCUAAGCUUCAGGUUAUAAGGAACCGUACCCCAAACCGACACAGGUGGUUGGGAUGAGUAUUCUAAGGCGCUUGAGAGAACUCGGGUGAAGGAACUAGGCAAAGUGGUACCGUAACUUCGGGAGAAGGUACGCCGCUGACGGUGAUGAGACUUGCUCUCUGAGCUAUCGGCGGUCGCAGUGAAAAGGCCCCUGCAACUGUUUAUUAAAAACACAGCACUCUGCAAACGCGUAAGCGGACGUAUAGGGUGUGACGCCUGCCCGGUGCCGGAAGGUUAAUUGAUGGGGUUAGCGUAUGCGAAGCUCUUGAUCGAAGCCCCGGUAAACGGCGGCCGUAACUAUAACGGUCCUAAGGUAGCGAAAUUCCUUGUCGGGUAAGUUCCGACCUGCACGAAUGGCGUAAUGAUGGGGGCGCUGUCUCCACCCGAGACUCAGUGAAAUCGAAAUCGCAGUGAAGAUGCUGUGUACCCGCGGCUAGACGGAAAGACCCCGUGAACCUUUACUAUAGCUUCACAGUGGACUUUGAACCUGUUUGUGUAGGAUAGCUGGGAGACUUUGAAGCAGUGACGCUAGUCAUUGUGGAGUCGUCCUUGAAAUACCAGCCUGGCAUGUUUGAGGUUCUAACCUGGGUCCCUUAUCGGGAUCGGGGACAUUGUGUGGUGGGUAGUUUGACUGGGGCGGUCUCCUCCCAAAGAGUAACGGAGGAGCACAAAGGUACCCUCAGCACGGUCGGACAUCGUGCAACGAGCGUAAAGGUAGAAGGGUGCUUGACUGCGAGACUUACAAGUCGAGCAGGUGCGAAAGCAGGUCUUAGUGAUCCGGUGGUUCUGUAUGGAAGGGCCAUCGCUCAACGGAUAAAAGGUACUCCGGGGAUAACAGGCUGAUACCGCCCAAGAGUUCAUAUCGACGGCGGUGUUUGGCACCUCGAUGUCGGCUCAUCUCAUCCUGGGGCUGAAGCCGGUCCCAAGGGUAUGGCUGUUCGCCAUUUAAAGAGGUACGCGAGCUGGGUUUAGAACGUCGUGAGACAGUUCGGUCCCUAUCUGCCGUGGGCGUUUGAGAUUUGAGAAGAGCUGCUCCUAGUACGAGAGGACCGGAGUGGACGAACCUCUGGUGUUCCGGUUGUCACGCCAGUGGCAUUGCCGGGUAGCUACGUUCGGACGGGAUAACCGCUGAAAGCAUCUAAGCGGGAAGCCUCCCUCAAGAUGAGAUCUCCCUGGGAACUUGAUUCCCCUGAAGGGCCGUUGAAGACCACAACGUUGAUAGGCUGGGUGUGGAAGCGUUGUAAGGCGUGAAGCUAACCAGUACUAAUUGCCCGUGAGGCUUGACUAU
rnacentral:rRNA from 1 species